CCUACGGGAGGCAGCAGUGAGGAAUAUUGGUCAAUGGCCGAGAGGCUGAACCAGCCAAGUAGCGUGAGGGAUGACUGCCCUAUGGGUUGUAAACUUCUUUUGUAAAGGAAUAAAACGCGGCACGUGUGCCUUUUUGCAUGUACUUUGUGAAUAAGGAUCGGCUAACUCCGUGCCAGCAGCCGCGGUAAUACGGAGGAUCCGAGCGUUAUCCGGAUUUAUUGGGUUUAAAGGGAGCGUAGAUGGGUUGCGAAGUCAGUUGUGAAAGUUUGCGGCUCAACCGUAAAAUUGCAAUUGAUACUGGCAGUCUUGAGUACAGUUGAGGUAGGCGGAAUGCGUGGUGUAGCGGUGAAAUGCUUAGAUAUCACGCAGAACCCCGAUUGCGAAGGCAGCUUACCAACCUGUGACUGACAUUGAUGCUCGAAAGUGUGGGUAUCGAACAGGAUUAGAUACCCGAGUAGUC
rnacentral:rRNA from 1 species